UUAAAGAGAUAGGGUCUUCACGGCCCGACCUCCAACCCUCUGUUGUUAAAACUACCUUGUUGCUUUGGCGGGACCGUCUCGGUCUCCGAGCGCACUAACCCUCGGGUUGGUGAGCGCCCGCCAGAGUCCAACCAAACUCUUGUAUUAAACCAGUCGUCUGAGUAUAAAAUUUUAAUUAAAUUAAAACUUUCAACAACGGAUCUCUUGGUUCUCGCAUCGAUGAAGAACGCAGCGAAAUGCGAUAAGUAAUGUGAAUUGCAGAAUUCAGUGAAUCAUCGAAUCUUUGAACGCACAUUGCGCCCCUUGGUAUUCCGAGGGGCAUGCCUGUUCGAGCGUCAUUACACCACUCAAGCAUCGCUUGGUAUUGGGAACGGUCCGUCGAAAGGCGGGCCUUCCUCGAAGACCUCGGCGGGGUUCAACCAACUUCGGGCGUAGUAGAGUUAAAUCGAACGUCUUACAAGCUUGGUCGGAUCUCAUUGCCGUUAAACCUUUAAAUUUUCUAGGUUGACCUCGGAUCAGGUAGGGAUACCCGCUGAACUUAAGCAUA
rnacentral:rRNA from 1 species